rnacentral:misc_RNA from 1 species
GGAUGAAAUAAUGGUUCAAUAUAUGAAUUUAUUAAAAUAAUUGUUUCAGUUGCGUCUUCUUCUCAGUCUAAUUCCAUAAUUACAAGCAAAGCAACAUUAUGGCGUGUCAUUUCUCAUUUGCAGUAGGCAGUGCUAAGUUCAACAGGGAAUACUUGACUAGAAGAUGGAUUUGACCAUUCUUAAUAAAAAGCCUUGCUCCCGAUACCACCCAGUAACAAGGAGUCCUGUGGUCCUCUCGUUAUCUCCGCUGUGUCAACAAACCUUUGAAGCCUAGGAGUCUGUAUUGGUAUAGGCAAGGGUAACACCUUCUCCAUGAUGUACAGCAGAGCCAAUGGUAACAUCUCCUGGCUUUGGUGUUUUGUUUCUGACCCAUGCUAAAAUGAGUUGAGAUCAAAGUAGAGAUGCUUCCAGCUUUAGAAGUGACUUGUUCCAAGGUAGAGGAAUCAUCCCACUCAGGUUCCUUAACAACAACAGCUCCUUCGACGGCUGAGAAAUGGAGGCGCAAGAAGGGAACCUUUUCUGUCCAUAUUUUGCAACUUCUGGUUUGGCCCCAGUGACGAUUGAGACAUAAUCAGAUUCAACAGAGGCAGUACAGAUGCGUGAGAAACUCCUCUGCUGACCUUCUUGUAAUACUUGCUGUCAUAGGAGUACUCAGAUAUACUGGCAUUUGAGUGGUCUGAGAGAUGGAAUGACCUAAGGCAGUGAGGAAAGGCACUGCAAAUGGAUUACCAAACAGUUGCUGCUGCUCCCUUCCAAGUACAAGCGUAAGCCAGUUACUGCCCUCUUACAAACAUCAACCAGCCACAAAAAUAUAUUGUUAAAGUAUUGAUAUCAAAGUUUUCUAUACAUGAACUUAGCUUAGAGAAACCCAAAAAUAUCCCCUUCAUGCUAGUAGAAUCAAAUAAGAAUCUCAAAAUAUUUUAUAAUACUAGAUUUUGGGAUUCAAUUAUGCCAUAUAGGUUUAAUUCUGUUGAAGUGCAUAUGCUUUGGAAAAACUCACAAACUUGAUACUAGUGUUCACUACACCAGCAUCAACAAUUUACAUUCCAAUGUCAGCAUCCGCAACAACAAAACUUUGUCCAUGUUUGUCAAUGCCGCUACAAUUUGAGCAAACAAAUAAAACACUAUUCUUUGAUUAAAAGGGGAAGGACAAACAAUUGCACACACAAGAAUAGAAGAGGAUAUAGGUUCCACAAGUCAUGCUGUGAAGGAAUUUUGGAAUUGUCAGCUAACUGUCAGGUUUUAGACUAGAUUUGUAGGUCAAAUAAAUCUGUUGGCAACAACUCUUUUGGAGCCUAUAUGAUUUUUUAGUGUAAAGCUAAGAAUUUAGAUAUUGUGGUGAUCACAAAAGAAAUUGGGCAAAAGCAUGUGCAAGUUCCUUUAAUGAUGCAGUAAUUAUGUAAAAGGAUGGAAGAUUUCCUAUUCCUUCCAUCUAAGCAGCAGAGAGAAUAUCAUAGAUUACAGAUUACACCGUAGGAGUCUGUCCACCUGUACGCAUAAUAAUUAGAAUAAAGAUGGGAUGCAGUCUUUCCAAAACAUUUGCAAGCCACGGGUUGGUUUUUAAUGAUAUUGCUCAGAGAAUCACUUUGGGAAUUUUAAUAGUUCAGAGAUUAAUGAUCCGAGUAAGUCAAAAACAGUUAAAAAUUGGAUUAUGCAUCCUGCACUCCAAAAUGUGCAAAACAGCACACUACCACAUGCCACCACAUGCCAUGCAUAGAAUUCAAAGGGUCUGUUCGGCAAUAUUAAUUAUUUUAGUAGCCGUAAGCUAUCUAGUAGUUGUCAGUUGUUUUACUAGCCGUUAGCUAUUAGAUAUUAACCAUUAGUAGCUAGUUGUUCAUAUAUUGAUUUAAAAUAGAUGUAUUUGAUAAAAUAAUUGUUGGAUUAACUGGUAAAUAUAUAACUAAUAAUAUAUCUUUUUUACUUAGUUAAAAUGCUCCUUCAAUUUCUAAACUCUAGGAAGGGCAACUGUUUAAUGAAGCACUCUCUCAACCUCUAAAUACUAGUUUAAACACUAUGCCACCUAAGAGAGAUAAUGUUUUGACUAGGGUUAAAAUACUAAAUGCUACCUUAAAAACUAUUACCGAACAUGACCAAAUUCUCCUCACUUGCAAUUACUAUCACAAAACCCAAUAAGAUUCAACCAAAAUCCACUCAGCCUUCUCAGCUAGAAGUUCAUCAUUCUCACACUUACCACCUGAAUCCACCAUGUUCUGAUGCAGCACAUAAUCUCAAAUUAAAAAAUAAAAAAUGAAAAAAUCGCCCUGCACCUGCUUCAGCAUGGAGCUCAGAUGAGAAAACAAUAUCCUUCUUUCACUGGUUAAAACUAGAAACCUCAAGAAAGAGAUUAAAUUAAUAACUUAAUAACAUGGUUCCCAUAGUAACUAGCCUUCUAGGUUUCUCCACAUUGUUAGUUCUACGCUGUCAACAACUUUUCUCAGCCCAUGAUAAUUGUCACAAGAGUGCCUCAAUUCCACAUCGGAAAGGAACGGAGGUCUUGGGCUCCUUAUAAGGUGUACUGCACACCCAUCAAGUGUAUCUUUUGGAGAGAAGGUAAUGACCCCAUGACAAUAGUGAUAUCAGAGCCAAUCGAGCCUCUUCUAACUCACGCCAAGCGCCCCAACGGACCAGGGUAGGCAACGAGGGCGUUGCCAGAAUCGGGCAUCAGGUGCAUCUUUCGGGGAGAGGAUAAUGACCAUGUGACAUAAUACAUUUAUCAUGCAGUCAUGUCAUAACAAUUUCCAUAAUAUGAUUUUACAGGUUCCAUAACAAAAAGGUUCAUGAAGGAGAACAAAACUUGUUAUAUUCAUAUUAAAAAGCAGUCAAGCAUAUCGAAAAUCCCCAUAGGUGAAGUGCACAAUCAUAACACUAGUCCUUUAGUCUAUAAUUAUGAUGAAUUAUUUCACAGAUGAACAAAAGCACAGGGAUUUAAAAUAUUAUACUUUCAUUCGAAGUUGCAGCCAAUGUAGUCCUUGAAUAUUGCAAAUAAAACAAAAACUAAUGCAUAAACUUCAAUGAACAACUUCUAAAAGUAACAUUGAGCAAAUAUCCAUCAUAAACAGGAACUCUUUUGCAUUAUUGCACAAAGUAAAAUGAUGAUAUUUCAGCAACUUGCUUACCUUAUCAUUUUCAUCCACCCCAUCAGUAUGAAAACUAUGAUUUGAAACAAAAUCUAAAAAUUUCUUGCCUGUAAUAUCCUUAUGCGUUCUAUAUAUAUCAACAGUCUGAAAAGGUGAUGGAUAUUGCUGUCUGACAUAUAUGGCAUCCUUUUCCUCCCUUUGUCACCCCAACUAUAACAUGAGUUCCAAACUUCUUAAUAAAUCUGGAAUUGACGAAUAAUAUGACUAUAUAAAUUUUCAAAUUCAAAAGAGAAAAUUGAAAAAAAAUCAUGUUGUAUAAAAAUAAUUGAAAGUAUUAUAAUAGUAGUGCUCGAGGUAGACUCUUACUUUGAAUCUGAUGAGAAACAAUAAUAUAUAAAAUAAUAGUUGUUCUAACAACUAAUGCAUGCAGGCAUAAUCUUACUUUGUUGUCAUUGCAUCCUCAAGGUAUAAUUAUUCAACAUUUUAUAACGAAUGUAACAGUGGAAGUUCACCUAAGUCAACACCAGACAACAGAAGUUGACUUAAGUGAACACAGUAGCUAAAAGAGAAACAUUAAAUUGGCUGUAGAUUGCCAAGACAACUUAGUUACACGAAGCUUGUAUUUUGAUUUGUGUAUGAAUGGCUGGGAUGCACAAAUUUUAAAUGUAAACUUAGAAAAAAAAAUUAUGAUGCAGUUUGAGAUGAAUGCACAAAGCUUACCUAUUACGCUUGGUCGCUUACUCCUGGGUUCAAGCUAGUUGUCUUCAUCACCGUAAAGUUUUCCGACUUAAUGUGAGAGAGGUAUGAGGGGUGAUGAUGCAUCACAUCAAGUAAUGUGAGCUUGAAAAAUUAAAUAAAAAUAUAUGUGCCCAUAAAUUUUGUCUUCCGUGGGUGAAACUUUAAAUAUGUGAAAUCUUUGCGCCCUUAAGAUUAAUGUUUAUCAUGCUUUAGUAUAAUAUUACUGCCUGAAUAGAAUUGAGGUAGAUUCUUAGUCUGGAUAGGAAUGAGACAGCAAUAUUCAUGAUAAUAGUAGUAAGACUCAGUACUCACAACAAUAGGUAGAAACUGCUUGUACAAAAUACAAUAUCACCUUGUCAUGGCCACAGGAUCCCAUGUUGCAGGAACAACUUGUUUGAGGUGACCAUGCAGUUCCAAUAGAAAUUUUCUUACUGAAAAACUAGAGUGUGAUGAACAUCUCAUUAAAAGUAAGGGCUUUUGUAGAGGAGGCAUCUUUCAUCUGACAUCCUGAUUCCUGAGAACCCAAAUGCAGCAUUACAAAGGCCAGAGGGAAUAUUGCCAGGCAAAGAUACAUCCUGGUUGAAUCAUUUUGUCAUCUAAAAGAAAGUAUUAAUAAAAGAAAGAAGCUGCAAAUGAGUCGAGGCACUCUUGCAAGCUGUUAUUAUGAUGUUAUCCAUCUCAGUGCAAAAAAUAAUAAUGCCUAACUUUCAACAUCAUAGAAUCUUUACUGUACUUAAUUUAACUGAUCUGUGUUUUGCUAAUCAAAGUAAAUGAGUUAGUGUCCAACAAUUAUCCUCCUACUGCAAGACUUAAUUCAUCUUUCUCCUUUCCUCCCAUAGGACGCCUACUGACUCAUAAAUGAAAAUUGGCUAAAGGGGCUAGAACCCUAAACAAGGAAGAAGAAUAUAACACAUACACCACAUAUAAGGAUAAAGGGGAAAAAUGAAAAAUUAAAAAGAAAUAAUGUCCUAAAAUUCCAUCUUCAGUUUUUAAGUAACACGUAGACCAUCUAUGUUGCCAAUUCCCAAGGCCGCAUGCUCCCAUCAUUAGAAAACAAUAAACUAACAAAUUACUGUAUUAUCAAUUGAUUUCCUUGCUCCUAAUAAAUAAUCUAGGCCAUCAAGGCAGCGUAUAUAUAAUAAAAAUAUAAAAAUUAAAAACACCAUAUAACCAACAAAAUAUAAUCAGAAAACCUGAAAUUAUAAGCUGAUGGAAACGGAAACGCGAACACAGGAAAACUCGAAAAUGAACAUGGAAAAAACGAAAUUUUUAAAAAUAUUCAAAACGAAAACGUAGAAAAACAUGAAAAUUAAAAAAAUGUAGGGAUAUAUAUGUUCUCCAAACUCGGAAACCAGCAUCAUUCAGAGAUAUUUAACAGAAAUCUUCUAAAACCUUGAACGCUAUACAGCCUCUAUUGGCAAGAAAAUUCUACAUAGAAACUCAAUUAUGGUGGAAGAGAUACGAGUUAGUGCUAAUGCAGAAUCAAUUAAUAUGAGAGCACAAUUUCAUUGCCACUUCGAUUCUGUUUCUGUUGAU